rnacentral:lncRNA from 1 species
GAGCCGAGGGGGCGGGCUGAGGGGCGGCCCCCGGGAGAGAGCGGCCAGGUGGAGGAGGAGCGCGGAGGCGACCGCAGCAUCUGCCUGCCCUUCUGCCAUCCGAGCGCCCUGACUGCGCCACACUGCAGGCCAUGGAGAAUGAGCUGCCAGUCCCACAUACAUCUAGCAGUGCCUGUGCCACCAGCAGUACCAGCGGGGCCAGUAGCAGCAGUGGCUGCAACAACAGCAGCAGUGGUGGAAGUGGCCGCCCCACCGGGCCCCAGAUUUCUGUGUACAGUGGUAUUCCAGACCGGCAGACCGUGCAGGUGAUCCAGCAGGCCCUGCACAGACAGCCCAGCACGGCCGCUCAGUACCUGCAGCAGAUGUACGCCGCCCAGCAGCAGCACCUCAUGCUGCAGACCGCGGCGCUCCAGCAGCAGCACCUCAG